rnacentral:rRNA from 2 species
AAUCCAUAGGUUAAUGAGGCGAACCGGGGGAACUGAAACAUCUAAGUACCCCGAGGAAAAGAAAUCAACCGAGAUUCCCCCAGUAGCGGCGAGCGAACGGGGAGGAGCCCAGAGCCUGAAUCAGCAUGUGUGUUAGUGGAAGCGUCUGGAAAGGCGCGCGAUACAGGGUGACAGCCCCGUACACAAAAGCGCAUGUGCUGUGAGCUCGAUGAGUAGGGCGGGACACGUGGUAUCCUGUCUGAAUAUGGGGGGACCAUCCUCCAAGGCUAAAUACUCCUGACUGACCGAUAGUGAACCAGUACCGUGAGGGAAAGGCGAAAAGAACCCCGGCGAGGGGAGUGAAAAAGAACCUGAAACCGUGUACGUACAAGCAGUGGGAGCACAGGUUUACCUGUGUGACUGCGUACCUUUUGUAUAAU